UAUACAUUUGGCGUGGUAUGAUGCAGCCACAUAGAAACACUUUUUACAGGGUCUGUCUAUAAUAAGCUCAGGUGUUUUGAGCUUUUUCAAUGUGCACAAAACAUAAUUUAAAAAUAUACCCCAUAUAGAGGUUAAUAAUAAUAAUAAUUUUUUUAUAUUUACCCCAAAUAUUUUUUAAAUUCAUAAAGUGGAACCCUAAUUCCUUUUCCCGUAAAGUGUAAACUCACCGCACCCUCCAAUCCGUUCACAACUAUCACCACCCACUCCAUCCUUCUCUUGUUUUUGCCCUCGCCGUCGCCGUCCAUCGCCGUCCAGCCAGCACUCGCUGCCGGUCUCAUCUCAUCUCCCGGCAUCGUUCCUAGGCUCGCUCUCCCCGUCUCCUCUUCUCUCUUCGAAUCGUCGUCAGCACCGUGGUGCUCCGUCUUCCCCUUUAUCCUCCACUUCCAGAGUUACAAUGGAACCUCAGUCUCAGGCAGCAAACUCAUGGGAAAUCAACUCCAAAUUGGAAGGCUUUUGGAGUUCCUAUCUUUGCAGGGGGGAAGAAAAUCAAAGCAAUUACUAGCAACCAUAGUUUCUUUUUCUUUUCUAUUUUUAAUGUGUAUUUUGCUGAAGAAUUAGGUAGAAUGAAGUGGAAAAAAACAAAUAUUGCAUAGUUUGCCAUUCUUAAAGAAGAAGUGGAUCUGAGUAGUACUGUAAUGUAUGGCAUUUGUCAGUUUUCAGAAGUAUGGACCAUGUUUCCAAUUUGGGGUUAAGGUGUGCCAGAACUCCUCUUUGAUUGUUGUACUAAUAGUAGUUAAUGCAGCCUUAAUCUAACACAGGACCACUUUUCAAAUUCUGCUCAACACUGGUU